CCUACGGGGGGCUGCAGUGGGGAAUAUUGGACAAUGGGGGCAACCCUGAUCCAGCCAUGCCGCGUGUGUGAAGAAGGCCCUCGGGUUGUAAAGCACUUUCAGUGAGGAAGAACGCCUGGUGGUUAAUACCCAUCAGGAAAGACAUCACUCACAGAAGAAGCACCGGCUAACUCCGUGCCAGCAGCCGCGGUAAUACGGAGGGUGCGAGCGUUAAUCGGAAUUACUGGGCGUAAAGCGCGCGUAGGUGGCUUGAUAAGCCGGUUGUGAAAGCCCCGGGCUCAACCUGGGAACGGCAUCCGGAACUGUCGAGCUAGAGGGCAGGAGAGGAAGGUAGAAUUCCCGGUGUAGCGGUGAAAUGCGUAGAGAUCGGGAGGAAUACCAGUGGCGAAGGCGGCCUUCUGGACUGACACUGACACUGAGGUGCGAAAGCGUGGGUAGCAAACAGGAUUAGAUACCCUGGUAGUC
rnacentral:rRNA from 1 species